GGUUGGGUAGGGGCCCUCGUCUUACCCAGCAGUGUUUGGGUGCUGGUUGGGAGUCUCUAAUACUGCCGGGUAAUGAUGGAGGCCCCUGUC